AUUGAACGCUGGCGGCAUGCUUUACACAUGCAAGUCGAGCGGCAGCGCGGGGGCAACCCUGGCGGCGAGCGGCGAACGGGUGAGGAAUACAUCGGAACGUACCCCGGAGUGGGGGAUAACGCCGCGAAAGCGGCGCUAAUACCGCAUAUGCUCUGAGGAGGAAAGUGGGGGACCGCAAGGCCUCACGCUCUGGGAGCGGCCGAUGUCCGAUUAGCUAGUUGGUGGGGUAAUGGCUUACCAAGGCGACGAUCGGUAGCUGGUCUGAGAGGAUGAUCAGCCACACUGGGACUGAGACACGGCCCAGACUCCUACGGGAGGCAGCAGUGGGGAAUUUUGGACAAUGGGGGCAACCCUGAUCCAGCCAUGCCGCGUGCGGGAAGAAGGCCUUCGGGUUGUAAACCGCUUUUAGUCGGGAAGAAAAGGCACGUUUUAAUACAGCGUGUUCUUGACGGUACCGGCGGAAUAAGCACCGGCUAACUACGUG
rnacentral:rRNA from 1 species